rnacentral:misc_RNA from 1 species
CACAAUCCUGGAUUGCCCAAGAAACUAGAGGCAGGAAAAGUGUCAAACUGGCCUCCUGAAGGUAUAGGUCCUUCAAGAUUGUUGUCCGCGACACUGAAUGAAGACAAGAAAUUUAGUCCUUUUAAUGAUGCAGGGAUUUCACCAGUUAGAUGGUUUGCAGAGAGAUCCAACUUCUCUAAGUUGGUCAAUUUGGAAAGUUCAUUGGGAAUGCUUCCAGAGAAGUUGUUGUCACUCAGAUCCAACACAUGAAGGAACUUCAGUUGGCCAAGCUCGACAGGGAUAUUGCCCCUAAGGCUGUUGUUGCUCAUGUAUAUUGCUGGUGGUAGGUGCGAGAGCUUAAUGUAUUGCUGAUAGUUAGCAUUCUUGGUCUUGACAAGGACAGGCACCUCUAGAUAGGUUGUAUCCAGUUCGUAGUGUGCCAUCGCUGAUGCCAAUGACGGCAAUAAGUUGAGAUCCCUGGGAAAUUCACCUGAUAUGAAGUUAUUACCCAAGUCUAUGUAGAAAAGGCUUGG